CCUACGGGAGGCAGCAGUGAGGAAUAUUGGUCAAUGGACGAGAGUCUGAACCAGCCAAGUAGCGUGAAGGAUGACUGCCCUAUGGGUUGUAAACUUCUUUUAUAUGGGAAUAAAACGUUCCACGUGUGGGAUUUUGUAUGUACCAUAUGAAUAAGGAUCGGCUAACUCCGUGCCAGCAGCCGCGGUAAUACGGAGGAUCCGAGCGUUAUCCGGAUUUAUUGGGUUUAAAGGGAGCGUAGGUGGAUUGUUAAGUCAGUUGUGAAAGUUUGCGGCUCAACCGUAAAAUUGCAGUUGAAACUGGCAGUCUUGAGUACAGGAGAGGUGGGCGGAAUUCGAGGUGUAGCGGUGAAAUGCUUAGAUAUCACGAAGAACUCCGAUUGCGAAGGCAGUUCACUGGACCGCAACUGACACUGAGGCUCGAAAGUGUGGGUAUCAAACAGGAUUAGAUACCCUUGUAGUC
rnacentral:rRNA from 1 species